UAAGAAAGAGAAGUUUUUCAUUUUUCAUUCUCUUGGUCUUCUUUACUGGAUCUGGCGUUUUUGAUCUCUCUAAUCCUCGCACCUCUGAAAAGUCAGAUCUAUGGUUAUUUCUGUGUUUUAUAUCAGAUCUUGGGCUUGAUUUGUAGUCUUCGGUCUGCUGUGAAGUCCGACUGUAGUGUUGGUUGUGUUCUUGACAGGAUAUUUUGGGGCCUUUUGGGUCGGAUAAGGACAUUACUGCACUUUGGUCUGGGUCUUGCAUUGAUUAGGGGUAGAUUAUUGCGAGAUCUAUUAUAGAUUGAUGAUCCAUUGUUGAGUUGGAGGUCUGAUUGUUGUAACCGAAAUUUUGCUCUCUUGGCGGGUUCUUGUGCAUAGUGAUGGGCUCUUACCUCUGAAACCUCAUAUUAGAUGUUUGCCGAACUGGGUGACCAUUCUUGCGUUGACACUUCACAGUUUUGUGCUUGGUGGUUUCGGUGUAUGUGAUUAUUUCGUGUAUUGGAGUCGAAAAUAUGUAGUUAAAAUUAAUUUUUAAUUUUGACUUUAAUAAAAAUUUAGAUAUUAAUUCCCACCAAAUAGGCGUCUUUAACC
rnacentral:lncRNA from 1 species